rnacentral:rRNA from 1 species
AUUGAACGCUGGCGGCAUGCCUUACACAUGCAAGUCGAACGGCAGCACGGACUUCGGUCUGGUGGCGAGUGGCGAACGGGUGAGUAAUACAUCGGAACGUGCCUAGUAGUGGGGGAUAACUACUCGAAAGAGUGGCUAAUACCGCAUGAGAUCUAUGGAUGAAAGCAGGGGACCUUAGGGCCUUGUGCUACUGGAGCGGCCGAUGGCAGAUUAGGUAGUUGGUGGGAUAAAAGCUUACCAAGCCAACGAUCUGUAGCUGGUCUGAGAGGACGAUCAGCCACACUGGGACUGAGACACGGCCCAGACUCCUACGGGAGGCAGCAGUGGGGAAUUUUGGACAAUGGGCGCAAGCCUGAUCCAGCAAUGCCGCGUGCAGGAUGAAGGCCUUCGGGUUGUAAACUGCUUUUGUACGGAACGAAAAGGUGCUCUCUAAUACAGGGUGCUCAUGACGGUACCGUAAGAAUAAGCACCGGCUAACUACGUG